rnacentral:lncRNA from 1 species
AUUGACAGUUUUCAAGAACUGGAUGUCUCUGAAUCUAGGUUGGAAUGUACAAAAUCUUUUCAAGUAAGAGAAACAAGGAUCACAUAUACGAUAGGGCUUUCUCUUGCUUGGUGCCAAAGAUGCAUUCAUGGUCUUAUGGCUGGAAUGCCAUUGAAGUGAACACUUUUUCUCUUAACUUAGUCUCCUGAUAGGCUGAUAUAUUUAUCCAUUUUCUACAGUAGAGUAUUUCAGAAGAGAGUUUGGGGGUUUCAG